rnacentral:sRNA from 1 species
UUUUCUUUUAGACACAUCCCAACCCAAAGUAUAAGCGCCCACCUAGUCCUAUCUAGUCCGGAAAAUGCAAACUAGAACUACAUGAGACACUAUCUCUAUCGUUACGAACCUAACACUUUCUACAAAGCUUAAUUGGAAUAAGACCUCACAGACACUCACAAGUGAUAUAGGGCUCGAAAGAAAGUCUAGGUUUGGGCUCGGGUUAACUGCUCUAAUAAGGAGAGUCAGCUACUUGGAUUAACAAGAGUGAUCAAGAUGAAUAAGAAAAUCCAAGUAUUUUAGGGUAUCCAUGAGUUCAAAUUUGAUGCAAACAUAAUAAUUAAAGAUCAGAUUCAAGUUCAAAUUGAUAGGGAAUGGUCUCAAAUCAUGACAGUGUGGUCGAGUAGAGCAAUCUAGGCAUGAUUCAGUUUUACUUCAAUUUCAUUGACUACGCAACAGACAACUAGCAACGAGGGCACUGAGUUUAUCCGGUGAACCAAAAUGCUUACAAGGCUAUCUCAUCAUUAUCCACUAUGCAUAUGCAACAAUCCUAAAUGAAACACUCUAUCUCGAUCCUAAAUGUACUGCAGAAGGUGCUGCUCUUGCUGCUAGAUCGAGUGAGUGUGGUCCUCCUCUUUCUCCCAGAUUCACGAGGCUCGAAUGAUGAAUGCCUCAUAGGGACAUGCGGAAUCUCCUGUUCACUAGGCUCAGGCCUGCGCCGACUUCGCUCAGGCGCGUCAUAUCUCCUCGAGGGCAUGUCACGAGGGAUCUGUCCCUGCGGAAUAGCUGUAGUGGAAGAGGAGCAGCUUAGCUUAUCCUUCAGAAACUUGAUAGCUCUGAGGCACUUGGCGAGUAACUUAUCAUGUUUCUUGCACCACUUCUGCAGCUUGCUGUUUUUCCUAUGAGCUUCGCUCAAACUCUUGCUCUCCCUUGCUGGAGGUACAUGCUCACUGAAAUGAUACAUGCUCGUGUCAAACUCCGCCUCAUCUAUUUCAUCUGUCUUAUCAACAUCUUCUGUCGUAUCUCCUUCGGUGUGACUGAUCUCCUCAGUUGGCAGACUGCCCUCGAAAUAAAGAUCUUCAAGCGCAGGCUUGAAGUCAAUGUUCCUUUCCUCGAGAACCCUAGUAGCGUCAAUGUAGGGGAGAAGAAUGUUGGCGAUUCUGAUCGAUGAAUGCUCGAACCUGUAGCGAUGGAAGUCACCAACCAUGUCAUGCUCCAAGAACUCACAUCGGCCCAAAUGAUCCAAAUCCAUCAUUCUUGGUGCUAGCCCUGGUUCCUUGAGAGGUACUCCACAAGCUUCCACAAUUGGCGUCACAACGCCACCUACGCAUAGUGCUCCUGUUACUUUCUUCUUGCCGUUUAUCAACGCCCACUUCCUGUAUCCACACAGGUGGAUCAAUAGAGGCAUUACUGGUGGUGCGUCGUUGAGAUCGCCUCUCAAGACAUUCUUUCCCUUUGUACGGCGGAGAAUCCCUGUAAGUGCGGAAUCUAUCAUUUCCAUGUCCGUGUUAGACACGGUGCCUGCAGACUCCCUAGAAUAAAAAACAUUGGGAACCGAGCGCUGAAAGUAGCGAAUCACAGGACUCUAGAUUUGGUUGCUCUUGGACCGCGCAGAGUUUAGCGGUACAUUGUUCCCAAUAGUAGCCCACAAAUCCUUAAGCUCUUCCCUGUCAAACUUGGGGUUGGUUCCCUUUUCACUAGGGAAACCAAACAGUUCUUCCCACUUCUUGAUCGACAGCUCAUAACGCUGUUCAUCCACUGAGAACGUCAAGAACCCUAAUCCCAUGGUAUCCAGCUUAAAGUCUGUGAGACCCUGAUACAUCUCUACUUGCAGUGUGGAAAGAAACUCGAUUGUCUCCUCCUUAUAGGCAGCGUAAGGGUAAGACAUGAGUGUCUCCAGAUGACACUUCUCGAACACAUGUUGCACAUCCUCCAGUAACCCCAGCUGGGCUAAAGUCUCAUAACAGGGAUACCUCGUUCCCCAGAAAUCAUUAUGUUCGAAGAAUCUGAUAUACUCCUCCAUUGUAACCUCGUCAGGUUUGUUCAGCAGCAUUGUCUCCUUGCGCCAUGACUCUGGCUCAUACUCAGUUUUGAUGUCCUCAUCAAUUAACUCAUAUCUACUCGAAAUCGCUCUCUUCCCUCUAGCGAUUUCAGCUCUUCCUUGACUACGUUGAGCUGUGGAGCGUUCUAUUUCUCCUCUAAAGCUCUCGUAAACGUGUUCUUCUCUCUCGGGUCUAGUGGACCAAGACUAGGCUUCAUCUACAUUAUAAUUAGGAUCCAUAGAGGAUUCUCCACUAUAGUUACUCAUGAUGAAACCUGAAAACAGAUGAAACUCAAAGAUAAACGUUAAUACGUUAGUUCCAGCAAAAACAAAAACACAAUCCAACAGUGUAUACCGCUCGAGUAAACCGGUCGGUUUUGAAUAUUUUUUUUUUUUGGAUUGUGAGUUGUUGGUCGAGUCUCUCCUUGGUGAACUUGAAGUGGAACGAUCGAGUGAACUUGAGCGACAAGACUUCUUGCGGUCAAGUGUGGCGAAUCGAGUGAGCUAAAAACCGGUUAGUGAGGAGAGAUUUGAUGGGGUCGAGUGAACUCUUUGGUGGAGUGAUGUGACGUGACCGAGUGAUUCUGCAAACAAACCGAAAUGAGCAAGGAUGAAACCUUCAAGUACUCGAUCGCGUGGCAAAUGUGAGUAGAGUUGUAGACGGUUCACUAGAUUGUUUGGUGAGCUACUUCUUACACGCGAUCGAGUAAGAUGAGAGAUGGUGAAGUGAGUUCAAGGUGAUCUUGCACUGAAUUGAGUGAUUGAUAAACAAGAACCGGUGUGGAGAUGUUGAAGAAGUCGAGUGAUUGAUUCGGUGGUAGAGCUUCAUUCUUCUUCUCUUUGAUUUGGCAAUCGAGUGAGCUUGAAAACUCGUGAUGGUGAAACGAGACUUACGGUGGUCGAGUAAAGGAGGUGAUGAAGAUGGUGAUGAGAGAUCGAGUGAUUGUGAGAGGCAAGAGAGGCGCGAUCAAGUGUGGUUGCUGAAUCGAGUGAAAUUGUGAUGAAUGAGAGGUGGUGAUGAGCUUUCGUGGAGAUGGGAGCAGCGGCUUUGGAAGCGAUGGAGAGAUGAGAUGGUGGUACUCGGCUUCAUGGUAGAGUGAUCGAGUGAAGGGGAUGAAGGUACUCGACCAUGUGGUUGAGUAGUGUGAUCGAGUGAAGGUGAUUUGGUGGACGUGAUGAUACUCGACCAGGAGGUCGAGUGAUGUGAUCAAAUGAUUGUCUUGGCGGUACUCGACCAGGGGGUCGAGUGGUGUUGUGAAGUGAUGAGGCCAUCUACUCGACCAGGGGGUCGAGUGGUUUGUUGAAGUCGUGGAAUCAUCUACUCGACCAGGGGGUCGAGUGUUUUGCAGUGAUCAGGUCCCCUUCUUCAAAUUAGCUCGCCAACAGCUCCAAAUCACUUGAAAACAACACAAAUAUGCAACAUGCAUGUAAAACUAUCAUAAACAUGCAAAGUGAUGACAAAUGAUGACAAAUGAUAUAAAAAAGUGAUGAUAUGAUGCUAAAGUGAUGAUAAAUGUAUGCUCAAAACAGGCAAAAUGCCCACUUAUCAUUGGGAGUUUGAGAAAUGAUACUGGCAACGUUGAAGACGUUAAUGGUUACACCCUUCUGUUCAAGAUCAUGGAUCGCUAGAGAGUAAAUUAUUUUUAUAUUGUUUAUAUAAAAUAGUCUGCAUAAAUUUGUAUACAAGAUUUUGAUCAUACUUAUUGCUAUAGCAAAGAAGUAUUGUCGUGUGAGGCUUUUGGGCAGACAGCUACUGACUUUGAAAAAAAAAAUCGAUUGUAUGGAAAGCCAAAUAUGAUUGUUGCACUAGGGUGGUGGAAGGUUUUGAAGUCAAAUUGGAGGGCAAAUGGAGUGAAGAUUGUGAGCCAUGGAUCUAUAUCAAAAGUGUUUUCUAAUGCAGAGAUUCGUGAAGUUGAAGUUGGUUAUAGAUUGAUGGUUGAUUCAGGAAUUGUUUUUUUUAAAUAUUUUAUGUAAUAAUUUUUGGUUAAUUCAUGAUUUUUUUUUUUUUUAUGUAAUAAUUUCUCGUUUAAUGUUUAGCUUGAGAUUUUAAUAACUUAUAUUAUAUUCUUAUUUUUAUUUUGAUUAUCACAAAAAUUUAGUUUAUUUUAAAUAUUUUUAAUUUUAUAUUCUUAAUGUUUUGAUUACCAAUUCGUUAUAUCAAUCUACAUUCAAGAUAUUAAUAUCCGUAUAAAUCAUAAACUUAUAUAUACAUUAAAAAAUCAUAUAAUACAUAUACCUAAAUUGGUAAGAUAAUAAUCAUUUCUCAAAAUUAUAAGUUAUUAAAUAAAAUGUCCAUCACAACACAUUCACAUUAAGAACAUAUAUAAACCUAUUAAAUUCAAUAGUUUUCCUAAAUAGUAUAGACUAUAUUGUAAAAUCCGUAUGCACAACACACUAUUGGGAAACCCUAAGCUAAAAUAUCUCAUCACUAAACUCUAAAUCAUAAACCUUAUAUCCUAAUAACUAUACUCAAAACCCUAAACACUAAACCCUAAAACCCAAAUCCUAAACCCUAUUCUUAAUAUGUUGUUAGAUAUUUGUGAAUGACAUAUUUUAAUUAAAUUCGUUAUAACAAAAACAAUUUCAUGAUAUUUAUGUCCGUAUUAAUCAUAAAAUUAUAUCUAAAUUAUAAAAUAAAGAAUAUAGUAAUCAGUCAUCUAAAUCAUAAGUUAUUAAAUAAACUAUCCAUCACAACAUAACCACAUUAAGACAAUACAUAAUUAUCUCUUUAAUUCACUAGUGUUUCUAAAUAGUAAAGGCUAUAUUGUCAAAUUCAUAUAAACAUAGCCCUAAACCUAGACUCUAAGCCAUAUACCAUACACACUAUGCACUAAACCCUAAUGGUAAACCCUAAACACUAAACCCUAAACCCUAAAGCUAAAACCAUAACCCAAAACCCUAUAACAUUACCUUAAACAUAAUCCUAAACCUAGACUCUAAGCCAUAUAUCAUAAACACUAUACCCUAAACAUUAUGCACUUAACCCUAACAGUAAACCCUAAACCCUAAACCUUAACCCCAAAACCCUAUAACAUUACCCUAAAACCUAAACCUAAUCUCUAAACCCUAAACCACUAAUGUCCUAAACUAUAAACUCUAACGCUAAACACUAAAAUCCAGACAAUAAUAAUUAUACCCUAAACACCAAGACCUAAACCCUAAACCCAAAACCCAAAACCCUAAACCCUAAAAUAUAAUUCCUAAACAGUAUUUCCCUAAACCCUAAACCCAAAUAAAUAAAUAAACUAUUAAUACCUAUCACUUAACCAAUUACACAUAAUUAGCAACCCUAUAUCCUAAAACUUUAACCUAAACAAUUAACCUUAACACACAGCAUUAGCUUUAUGUUAUCCAUCAUAACAAAACCACGUGGUUUGAGAACCCAAAAAAUACCUAUAGGGCAUAUAUUGUUGAACUAUAAAUAUCAACGUGGUCAUAUAUUUUGGCGGGAUAUUUCCCCCCAAAAAUUUUAAAAUCAAAUUAUAAAUAAGUAAAGGUGCGAUUAGGGAUCAUAUGCUCCAAAUACCUUAAAGAUCUAUACUAUGGUCCCCAAAAUAGUUUGUGAGAAAGGCACUUCAUGCAUCGUUCUGUUUCAACCAAUAAUCCCAAUCGUUACAUCUGUAGUAGAAGACAACAAACUCCUCGACGGAUGGCCGAACAAACUUGUAGUCAAAAUCUGGAAUCAAUCGUCGGGUUUAAAAAAAAGGUAAGAGUUGAGGCAAUCUUUAUAAAAGAGUAAAACAU